rnacentral:rRNA from 1 species
AUCAGUAAGCGGAGGAAAAGAAACUAACCAGGAUUCUCUUAGUAACGGCGAGUGAAAAGAGAUUAGCCCAUCACCGAAGCCCAUCCGCUCAUGUGGAUAAGGCCAUGUGGUGUUCAGUCAUUGACCUGGGGACAGUUGUUUACUCGAAGUCCAACUCCGAUUUUGGCUUUGGAUUUGUUCCGUAGAGGGUGAAAGGCCCGUACGAGUAAACACUUACGGUAUCAAGCUGUUUCCUAAUGGUCAGUGACAUGGAGUCGGAUUGCUUGAGAAUGCAGUCCAAAGUGGGUGGUAAACUCCAUCCAAGGCUAAAUACUGGCACGAGUCCGAUAGUAGACAAGUACCGCGAGGGAAAGUUGAAAAGUACUCUGAAGAGAGAGUAAAUAGUACGUGAAACCGUUUGUGAGGAAGCUGGUGGAGUCAAGCUACUUGGCUUGAUAAUUGGCUUAGAGAAUUUAUGUUUGUGGGUGAUGGGAUUAAUGGCUUGGAAUGGUCCAGUGGGUUCUCCACGACACACAUUCUCGGCUGAAUGUUGUAUUUGUCCCUAAUUCCCAAUCUCUAGUGCUAUUUAUCUUGCCGAGGAUCACAGUCAAUAUGUUUCGUGGUGCAUGCUGGGCAAACUGUGUUUUAGUGAGCCUUGUGCUUACUAAUCAUAGGAAGGCAGGUUGCUAAAUGAUAGAUAGCUCUAUCAAGUAAUGUAUAAUGGUUUUGGCUUGCCGCCUAUCAUGCAGCAUUAUUCAUCCAACAUAUUGUUCUUCAUUCAACAGUCUCCAUAUGGAAACUGCUGUGAGAACUGUGGUUUUGUAGUAGAUUUC